AAGCUUAAAAUCUCUGUGCAAUUUUUGCAUGGCGAAUUGUAGUCUAUAGAGGCGUGGUCAGUGUGGGCACUUGGGGUAAGUUCCUUGGAAGAGGACAGCAUGGAGGGUGAUACUCCCGUUCAUCCCUAAGUUGCUUGUGCGUACGACCCGUUUUCUUUGAGUCGCGUUGUUUGAGAAUGCAGCGCAAAGUAGGUGGUAAAUUCCAUCUAAAGCUAAAUAUUGGUGCGAGACCGAUAGCAAACAAGUACCGUGAGGGAAAGAUGAAAAGAACUUUGAAAAUAGAGUUAAAGAGUACCUGAAACUGCUGAAAGGGAACCAAAUCGUUUCCAGUGUCUAUAAUCCGUGGUAUAUUUCAUUGGCGAGUGCGUGCGUGCAUGUGCUGUUGCAGUGGCUUUUUGGCUGCGCUCGGCGUGUGUGUUGUGUGUGCUUGCUGGUGCCCUGUGCUGCCGGUGGGACGUCAAGGUCAGUUCGUAUGCUGCGGGAAAUGGCUACCGAGGAGGUAGGGCUUACGCUUGCGUUUGUCUGUUAUAUCUUGGUAGACGAGUAGUCGCGGUUGGGACUGAGGUGCCUACAACGUGCUUUWGAGUGGGCUUGGGUCUCCGUGUACGCCGUGUGCGGAUAGCUUGCUAUGCGUGUGU
rnacentral:rRNA from 1 species